rnacentral:rRNA from 1 species
UACGUAGGGUGCAAGCGUUGUCCGGAAUUAUUGGGCGUAAAGAACUCGUAGGCGGUCUGUCGCGUCUGGUGUGAAAACUCAGGGCUUAACCCUGAGCUUGCAUCGGGUACGGGCAGACUAGAGUGCGGUAGGGGAGACUGGAAUUCCUGGUGUAGCGGUGAAAUGCGCAGAUAUCAGGAGGAACACCGAUGGCGAAGGCAGGUCUCUGGGCCAUGAACUGACGCUGAGAAGCGAAAGCAUGGGGAGCGAACAGGA